UGAGGAAUUUUCAUCAAUGGGGGCAACCCUGAACGAGCAACGCCGCGUGCAGGAGGAAGGUCUUCGGAUCGUAAACUGCUUUUCUCUGGGACGAGAAUGGACGGUACCAGAGGAAGAAGCCCCGGCUAACUACGUGCCAGCAGCCGCGGUAAUACGUAGGGGGCGAGCGUUGUCCGGAUUUAUUGGGCGUAAAGGGCGCGUAGGCGGUGCUUUAAGUUUGGAGUGACAGUGGGUGGCUUAACUACCCAAGGCCUUUGAAAACUGGAGCACUUGAGGACCAGAGAGGGACAUAGAAUUCCGGGUGGAGUGGUGAAAUGCGUAGAUAUCCGGAGGAAUACCAAAGGCGAAGGCAGUGUCCUGGAGGGUUAACUGACGCUGAGGCGCGAAAGCUAGGGGAGCAAAC
rnacentral:rRNA from 1 species